UAUCUCUGUAGAGUCUGCAUAUCAAUAAGCGGAGGAAAAGUCAAGGAAGGGAAAGUGGAAAAUGAUAAAAUUUCUAUUCGGAUAAAUAAACAAAAAGGAAACGUUUACAACAGCACUUUCAACAAAAAAGAAUGGGGGGAUGCGAAAGGGAGUUGACAAAAAAUCCAAAUAUGUAUUAUGAUAGGCGUACGAAACAAAGUUCUGAACUUUUCGAAGCAUGAUGUUAUCAAAAAAUUCAGAUUGUUUUCGAACCCGCCCACUGGGCACAAAAAACAAGGAGGAACUAUGAAGAAGAUGCUCAAGAAGACUCUGGCAAUGCUGCUGGUUCUGGUCAUGGUCUUUGCUCUGGUCGCCUGUGGCGCCGCAGAGGAAAAGCCCGCUGAGACCCAGGCUGCUGCUCCCGCCGAGACUCAGGCUGCCGCUGCUGAAACCGAAGCCGCUGCUGCCGAACCCAUUAAGAUUUCCAUGUACUAUGCAGAUAACCCCACUCUGCCCUACAUGGACACCUGGCUGGCAAUGGUCGAAACUGCCAAGCUGGCUAACAUCGACCUGACUGUCGAAGCUAUCCCCAGCGGCUCUGACUUCAGCACCAAGGUUUCCCUGGCUCUGAACACCCUGGAGAACUGCCCCGACGUCAUCCUGUACCAGGAGACCUACGGUGAGAGAGCUUCCCAGUGCCUGAACGGCGCCGUUGUUCCCAUCUCCGAUUACACCGACUGGACCCCCAACUUCAACGCCAUGGCUGCUAAGCUGGGCCUGGAAGGCGAAGUUGACGGCCUGGCUCUGAUGGACGGCAAGCGUUACUACAUGCCCGCUCUGCGUGAGUCCGCUCAGUAUGACGGCGGUCUGAUCAUGCGUGCUGACUACCUGGCAGCCAAGGGCUUCGAGGCUCCCAAGACCUUCGACGAUCUGUACGAGAUUCUGAAGGCUUACAAGGCUGACUAUCCCGAUUCCUACCCCUGACUCACCUGGUCGCUCCCUACGUUACCUACCGUAUGACCAUGCCUUCCUUCGGCGCUCCCUUCGGCAAGUCCUGCGCUCCCUACGCCACGGUCCUGUCCUGGGACUACGAGGCUAAGGACUACGUCCUGGGCGCUACCUCCGAGGCUGCCCGCGAGUAUCUGCGCUUCAUGAACAAGCUGUUCGACGAAGGUCUGCUGGACCCCGAGCAGGCUCCCAUCAUUGAUGACGCUGUCUGGUCCAACAAGAUGACCUCCGGCUACUCCAUAGGCUACCUACGCUUAGGAUGUUGAUCUACAGAGCGAGAGU
rnacentral:rRNA from 1 species